rnacentral:rRNA from 1 species
UCCCAGACUCCUACGGGAGGCAGCAGUGGGGAAUAUUGCACAAUGGGGGAAACCCUGAUGCAGCGACGCCGCGUGAGUGAGGAAGUAUCUCGGUAUGCAAAGCUCUAUCAGCGGGGAAGAAAGAGGACGGUACCCGACUAAGAAGCCCCGGCUAACUACGUGCCAGCAGCCGCGGUAAUACGUAGGGGGCGAGCGUUAUCCGGAUUUACUGGGUGUAAAGGGAGCGUAGACGGCUGUGCAAGCCAGAUGUGAAAGCCCGGGGCUCAACCCCGGGACUGCAUUUGGAACUGCGUGGCUUGAGUGUCGGAGAGGCAGGCGGAAUUCCUAGUGUAGCGGUGAAAUGCGUAGAUAUUAGGAGGAACACCAGUGGCGAAGGCGGCCUGCUGGACGAUGACUGACGUUGAGGCUCGAAAGCGUGGGGAGCAAACAGGAUUAGAUACCCUCGUA